UUCGUAGUGUUGCGUCCGGGCUAGGUAGUUUCUUUUCCGGUUUGUCAAAAUGGGUAUCGAUAUUAACCACAAACACGAUAGAAAGGUCCGACGUACGGAGCCGAAGUCGCAAGAUGUUUAUUUACGACUUCUUGUAAAACUCUAUCGGUUCUUGGCACGUAGAACGAAUGCAAAGUUCAACCAAAUUAUUUUGAAACGUCUGUUUAUGAGCAAGAUUCAUCGCCCUCCAAUUUCUUUAGCCCGUAUUGUCAGAUUUAUGAAAAAGACCGGACGUGAAAACUGCAUCGCGGUAAUCGUUGGAACCGUUACAGAUGAUGCUAGAAUUUUUGAAGUUCCAAAAUUAACGGUUUGUGCACUACGUAUUACUGAAAAGGCUAGAGGCCGCAUUUUGAAAGCUGGUGGUGAAAUCAUUACUUUUGAUCAACUGGCUCUUCGUUCCCCCACUGGGAAGAAGACAGUUUUAAUGCAAGGUCGACGCAAUGCACGUGAAGCAGUGAAACACUUUGGACCAGCACCAGGUGUUCCACAUUCGCAUACUAAACCAUUAGUACUUUCAAAAGGACGGAAGUUCGAGAGAGCUAGAGGCCGUAGGCGUAGCUGUGGUUAUAAGAAGUAAAUUCUUAAUCAUUCGGUGGAGUCCAUACAAUGGGAAAUGGUUCAUUUUCAAUUUCGUCUGAUAUUAGCGCUGGUCGAUGUCGUCCACAAUAGCUAUUAAAAAAUAAGUUUAUUGUCAAAAACAUGUAACAUUACAUGUAAAAUUUACUGUUUCCUAUCGAAAUCUGGAAUAAUUUGAUAAGGCAACUUUAUCAUUAUGAGUCUAUAACCGAAUAAUUCUAAUUUUCUUCUUAUCAUUAUGGUCCUAUGGUCUGUACAUUUUUAUGUGUUGUAUAAAUGAAAUAUUAAGGAAAAAAAAAAGAAGUCUGUAGACUCCGUGAUAUUAAGGUUUCAACAAUUAGAAAUUCCAGAAAAUAAUUCCGAUCAACAGGAUACUUAUGCCUAUAACUAUUAAGACUAUAAUAAAUGUAAUUGUCUCUCAUUAAAAAUGACUUAUAUACAUCUCAUCUGUGAAGCACCGAUCCGCCGGAAGUAAUACUGGUUCUCCAAAGAGUAAAAUACGGUGGACUACAUUUUUUAUCUCUUUUAUGUCCUUCCUCGUCCUUAAAUAUCCAUGGAUACAAUAAGAGACAUGUUUCAUCGAUUAACGAGUUAGUUAAAUGAUACAUUUCUGCUUCGUAUUUCUCUUUGGCUUCUGCUUCUAUAAAAGAUUCAUUAUAAACCUAUUCGGACUUCCUCAGCGAUUUGCAUUCGUGUCUUUUCUUCUGGGCUACAUUCUUUUACAGAUAUAGAGAAUCUAUAAUUGGAAAAUAAAUGAAUACAGAUAGAUAAUUAAUCUAGAACCGUAAAAAUUAAUAUAGAACAUAACGCAAACUUACUCCGAUUCUUCUUUAUUUUGAAUUCGUUGAAAUUCGGUUGUUAAUAGUUUCACCAGUUGUGGACAAUGCGCGCCAAACAUUAAAUUAAUCAUCAUACCGUCCUGAAAAUAUAACAAUAAAUAUUUAUUAUUUUAUUUUCUUCGAUAAAACUAAGUAGAUGCAUUUAUUUACACGAAUAAACAUCCAAAUAGGUUCGCUUUUUUCUUUAAAACGCUGAAGAUCCGUUAUGUCAUCGCACCUUGCCUAAAAUAUUGUUUAUUAUUUUAUUAAUCGUUAUUAGAAAUUUAGUCGAUAAUAGAUAAUAGUUGGUGAAAUUACCGUAGCAUAAUUUAAAGCGUCACCACCAAUCUCCAUUUUGAGUUUUUUUAAAGUGCUUACCAUACCUGUGCAUGGUCCGCUCCAUGCAGCAUAGAUAUCAACUACUGUAAAAUAAAAAAUUUAAUUAAAUAAUAACGAUGAUAAGGAU